rnacentral:rRNA from 1 species
AGUGAACGCUGGCGGUAGGCCUAACACAUGCAAGUCGAACGGCAGCACAGGAGAGCUUGCUCUCUGGGUGGCGAGUGGCGGACGGGUGAGGAAUACAUCGGAAUCUACUUUUUCGUGGGGGAUAACGUAGGGAAACUUACGCUAAUACCGCAUACGACCUACGGGUGAAAGCAGGGGAUCUUCGGACCUUGCGCGAUUGAAUGAGCCGAUGUCGGAUUAGCUAGUUGGCGGGGUAAAGGCCCACCAAGGCGACGAGCCGUAGCUGGUCUGAGAGGAUGAUCAGCCACAGUGAACUGAGACACGGUCAAGACGCGUACGGGAGGCAGCAGUGGGGAAUAUGGAGCAAUGGGCGCAAGCCUGAUCCAGCCAUACCGCGUGGGUGAAGAAGGCCUUCGGGUUGUAAAGCCCUUUUGUUGGGAAAGAAAUCCAGCUGGCUAAUACCCGGUUGGGAUGACGGUACCCAAAGAAUAAGCACCGGCUAACUUCGUGCCAGCAGCCGCCGCAG